GAAGCGUGGCGCUGCUUAACAUGCAGUCGACGGCAGCAUGAUCUAGCUUGCUAGAUUGAUGGCGAGUGGCGAACGGGUGAGUAAUACAUCGGAACGUGCCCUGUAGUGGGGGAUAACUAGUCGAAAGAUUAGCUAAUACCGCAUACGACCUGAGGGUGAAAGUGGGGGACCGCAAGGCCUCAUGCUAUAGGAGCGGCCGAUGUCUGAUUAGCUAGUUGGUGAGGUAAAGGCUCACCAAGGCGACGAUCAGUAGCUGGUCUGAGAGGACGAUCAGCCACACUGGGACUGAGACACGGCCCAGACUCCUACGGGAGGCAGCAGUGGGGAAUUUUGGACAAUGGGCGAAAGCCUGAUCCAGCAAUGCCGCGUGUGUGAAGAAGGCCUUCGGGUUGUAAAGCACUUUUGUCCGGAAAGAAAUGGCUCUGGUUAAUACCUGGGGUCGAUGACGGUACCGGAAGAAUAAGGACCGGCUAACUACGUGCCAGCAGCCGCGGUAAUACGUAGGGUCCAAGCGUUAAUCGGAAUUACUGGGCGUAAAGCGUGCGCAGGCGGUUGUGCAAGACCGAUGUGAAAUCCCCGAGCUUAACUUGGGAAUUGCAUUGGUGACUGCACGGCUAGAGUGUGUCAGAGGGGGGUAGAAUUCCACGUGUAGCAGUGAAAUGCGUAGAGAUGUGGAGGAAUACCGAUGGCGAAGGCAGCCCCCUGGGAUAACACUGACGCUCAUGCACGAAAGCGUGGGGAGCAAACAGGAUUAGAUACCCUGGUAGUCCACGCCCUAAACGAUGUCAACUAGUUGUUGGGGAUUCAUUUCCUUAGUAACGUAGCUAACGCGUGAAGUUGACCGCCUGGGGAGUACGGUCGCAAGAUUAAAACUCAGAAGGAUUUGGCAGCGGA
rnacentral:rRNA from 1 species